GACGAACGCUGGCGGCAUGCCUAAUACAUGCAAGUCGAACGCUGAAGCACCCUGCUUGCAGAGUGCGGAUGAGUGGCGAACGGGUGAGUAACACGUGGGGAAUCUGCCUAUAAGUGGGGGAUAACAUUCGGAAACGGAUGCUAAUACCGCAUAUAUUCUUGGACCGCCUGGUCCUUGAAAGAAAGACGGCUUUGCUGUCGCUUAUAGAUGAUCCCGCGGCGUAUUAGUUAGUUGGUGGGGUAAAGGCCUACCAAGACAAUGAUACGUAGCCGACCUGAGAGGGUGAUCGGCCACACUGGGACUGAGACACGGCCCAGACUCCUACGGGAGGCAGCAGUAGGGAAUCUUCCACAAUGGGCGAAAGCCUGAUGGAGCAAUGCCGCGUGAAUGAAGAAGGUCUUCGGAUCGUAAAGUUCUGUUAUUAGAGAAGAACAAGUCAAGGAAUAACUGUCUUGACUUUGACGGUACCUAACCAGAAAGUCACGGCUAACUACGUG
rnacentral:rRNA from 1 species